rnacentral:tRNA from 1 species
GUUUAGGGGAGAAGAGUCUCUCUUU